rnacentral:rRNA from 1 species
UACGGAGGGAGCUAGCGUUGUUCGGAAUUACUGGGCGUAAAGCGCACGUAGGCGGCUUUUUAAGUCAGGGGUGAAAUCCCGGGGCUCAACCCCGGAACUGCCCUUGAAACUGGGAAGCUAGAAUCUUGGAGAGGCGAGUGGAAUUCCGAGUGUAGAGGUGAAAUUCGUAGAUAUUCGGAAGAACACCAGUGGCGAAGGCUACUCGCUGGACAAGUAUUGACGCUGAGGUGCGAAAGCGUGGGGAGCAAACAGG